rnacentral:rRNA from 1 species
GACGUAGGGCGCGAGCGUUGUCCGGAAUUACUGGGCGUAAAGCGUGCGCAGGCGGUUGUGUAAGACAGAUGUGAAAUCCCCGGGCUCAACCUGGGAACUGCAUUUGUGACUGCACGGCUCGAGUGCGGCAGAGGGGGAUGGAAUUCCGCGUGUAGCAGUGAAAUGCGUAGAUAUGCGGAGGAACACCGAUGGCGAAGGCAAUCCCCUGGGCCUGCACUGACGCUCAUGCACGAAAGCGUGGGGAGCAAACAGG